UAAGUUACUUUGCAUAUUCCGAUUUUUACAGUAAUUAACGUAGUUACUUUGCAGAUUACUUGAUUUUAAAAGUAACGACGUUAGAUUACAAGUUCCUUUAUAAAUUACAUUCAGCAGCUGCUGACAACACCCCUCCCGCCUAAA